GACGAACCGUGCGAACGUUGUUCGGAAUCACUGGGCUUAAAGGGCGCGUAGGCGGGCUGUCAAGUCUGGGGUGAAAUGCCACGGCUCAACCGUGGAACUGCCUCAGAUACUGACGGCCUCGAGGAAGGUAGGGGCAUGCGGAACUGUAGGUGGAGCGGUGAAAUGCGUUGAUAUCUACAGGAACUCCGGUGGCGAAGGCGGCAUCCUGGACCAAUAUUGACGCUGAGGAGCGAAAGCCAGGGGAGCAAACGGG
rnacentral:rRNA from 1 species